rnacentral:rRNA from 1 species
AGUCGAGCGGCAGCGCGGGGCAACCUGGCGGCGAGCGGCGAACGGGUGAGUAAUGCAUCGGAACAUGUCCAUGUCGUGGGGGAUAGCCCGGCGAAAGCCGGAUUAAUACCGCAUACGCCCGAGAGGGGAAAGCCGGGGACCGCAAGGCCUGGCGCGAUUGGGUUGGCCGAUGUCCGAUUAGCUAGUUGGCGGGGUAAGAGCCCACCAAGGCGAUGAUCGGUAGCUGGUCUGAGAGGAUGAUCAGCCACACUGGGACUGAGACACGGCCCAGACUCCUACGGGAGGCAGCAGUGGGGAAUUUUGGACAAUGGGGGCAACCCUGAUCCAGCCAUUCCGCGUGAGUGAAGAAGGCCUUCGGGUUGUAAAGCUCUUUUGUCCGGAACGAAACGGUGAGCGUGAAUAUCGCUCGCUACUGACGGUACCGGAAGAAUAAGCACCGGCUAACUACGUGCCAGCAGCCGCGGUAAUACGUAGGGUGCGAGCGUUAAUCGGAAUUACUGGGCGUAAAGCGUGCGCAGGCGGUUUUGUAAGCCAGAUGUGAAAUCCCCGGGCUUAACCUGGGAAUGGCAUUUGGGACUGCAAGGCUGGAGUUUGGCAGAGGAGACUGGAAUUCCUGGUGUAGCAGUGAAAUGCGUAGAUAUCAGGAGGAAUACCGAUGGCGAAGGCAGGUCUCUGGGCUAUAACUGACGCUCAUGCACGAAAGCGUGGGGAGCAAACAGG